UACGUAGGGUGCAAGCGUUGUCCGGAAUUAUUGGGCGUAAAGAGCGUGUAGGCGGCCCGACCAGUCCGCUGUGAAAGUCCAGGGCUCAACCCUGGAAUGCCGGUGGAUACUGUCGGGCUAGAGUCCGGAAGGGGCGACUGGAAUUCCGUGGUGUAGCGGUGGAAUGCGCAGAUAUCAGGAGGAACACCGAUGGCGAAGGCAGGUCUCUGGGCCGCAACUGACGCUGAGGAGCGAAAGCAUGGGGAGCGAACAGG
rnacentral:rRNA from 1 species